GUGUCAUUCUUCUUCGGCCAAUGGAGUGUUAUCUUGUACCAGAAAUUAAGGAAUACGUACUGGUAAUUUUAAUCAUCUUCUUGCUCAUUAGCAUAUAUUAUAUAUAUAUCAAUCUAUUUUUCUGCUUCAUUCACAUUAACAUAAGAAAUUUAAUCUAGGUUUGUUCAUAACAAAAAACAUCACUAAUAUAUUUCCCAAAAGCAUAUAUCUUUAUACGAAUGAAUGAAGUGAAUAAUAAUCUUUGUUCAUUGUCUUGAUUUUAACUUCUUCUUGCUCCUCCUUAGAGGAUUGAACAUUUUUACUUAGGUUGUGAUUUGAUUCAAACCCCUAAAAAAAUCAAACAACAACGAAGUGAAUAAUAAUCUUUUUACCUACAAUUUCAUCACCAUUUUCAGGAGUACCCCCAACCGUGACCUUCUUUCAUCAUAUUUUUCUUCAAGCCUUGAUUUCAUUUCAUCUUUUUCACCUAUUUGAGUAUUGGAUUUGAAUGGGAUUCAGUUCAUGUUUAGAGAAAACUAAAAAAGUGAAUAGGUUUAGGUAGGAAGAGAUUUUUUAGAGAGUUCUGAUAUUUUUGAGAAAGAUUAAGAUAUAGUGAUAGAUGAUUCUAGCCUUUCUAGAGAAAUUUUUUCUUUAUCAAAAGACUGAGGACAUGCCCUAUCGUCCUCGUAUAGAGAAGGUAAAUCUUCUGGUGGACAUCUAUAAUUACUGUAUAAGUAAGUACCAGAACGCGCAUUGUAUCAAUCAAGCUCUCCUUUUAAAAAAAAAAGAAGGAAAGACACAUCCCAUCAUGUCUGAACACCCUUCUUCUUCUUCUUUGUUUCGUUUGUAUCUUUCCUUCUUUCUCUCUACAGUCACCACCAAACCCUAACUUCACUCUUUUUUUUUCUUCUAUACUCAAUUCAUGUGUUUUGGAAAAUCAACAAAAAUGAGUUAAGCAUAAAGGAGGAGGAGGACGACAACAAACGUCUUAAACUUGUAAAACAUGCGGAGAUGCUCGAGGGAAAAUUAAAUGGAGUUAAAGCCUGUGUGAACUUGCCUCCAACAGACUGGAGCACGAUGGAGUCUCACCACCAAGCAAAAGAUCAAGAUUGAUUUUGGCGGAGCUCAAGGACUGAAUUACUUACACAGCCAAAGAUACACACAUUGGGAUCUUAAGUUAACUUCCCUGCUACUUGACUUAAGACGACCACAACCGGUUUGGAAGUUUCUUAAUAGCUCGGUGAUUUUGGAGUAUUCAAUUUGGAUAUACCAGUGGCGCUCGGCAAACAUGGGCCCUUACCAUGGAAGGCACCGGAGUUACUUAACCGCCGUGACCGUGAGGUAUCGCCAAAGGUCGGCAAGGUAAACAUUUGAAUAAGGUGCCGACCAAAGGUUGUCGGCAAGGUCUACUUUGAAUAAGUUGCCGACGAAGAGAGGCCGACAUGGUUUUCAGAUGCAGAAUACCCCGACCGAUUUUCGGCCGAAAGGGUCUUUGAAUGAAGAAUACGCCGACUAUCUUGGGCCAGAAUUUUACGGUCGGCAUGAAAAAAUUUCCUACAAUGCCGACGAUCAUAUAGUCGGCAUGCACAUAAUUUUUAACACUGCCGGCUGACCUGUAGUCGGCAUGAUAAGGAUUUAUAAUCAUGUUGGCAUGUACUUAUACCAAACAGAAAACAGAAUAUGGGAAGAUGUAAUUCACUUUAUUCAUUCAAUUUUGGUUACUACAUUGAUCGAAACAUA